rnacentral:ncRNA from 2 species
AGCUUGGAUAGAGGCGCAGGUAUUAAAAGUAAGUAUUCAGAGAAGGCUAAUCAAUGACGAAUACUGAAAGGAAUAACUGCCGAAGCAGAGUUCUUUGCCAAGUUCUUUUGCUGGGCUUGUACUGAAAAAAGUGCAAGACUGUCAUUUCCUAGACGAGAUGAAGAGCUAUCCGAAAC